UCGUCGCCGUCGCACCUCCCAUCACUGCUGCCAUUAAGGAGCUCGAAGAGAAAGAAAGGGUUCACGCGGAGAGAGAAACACGAUGAGGGAGGAGGAGGUUGCCUCUGUUGCUGCCAAGCCGUCGCUGGCGGGGUUGGGUUCGCCGUCGCUGUUGAGCUGUGCACUGCCGUUGGUAUUUGGAUCACCACUCUGUUUCAGCUACAACUCGCCACUGUACUGCCAUCAGACAUGGAUGUACGUAUUGAUCUCUGAAUUAAAGCUUACUUGUGUAUAUAAGAUUCUUGAAAUGGACACCUAUAGAUACCACGGGCACUCUAUGUCUGAUCCUGGCAGGACAUACCGUACAUGUGACGAGAUUUCCAAUGAAAGACAAGAGCGUGAUCCAAUUGAGAGAGUGAGGAAGCUAUUAUUGGCUCAUGACAUUGCUUCUGAGAAGGAGCUGAAGGUAUCAGACUUGACUUAAAGAAUUAUGGGCUACGUUAUAUUUUUUGUGGCUUCCAAUUCAUGUUUACCCCACUUUGGAGUUUGUAAAUGGAUUCGAGUCCUCUCAUAGGGAUUAUAGAUCUUAUUAUAGACAUUGAUGAAAGAGUAUGAAAGGGCUGCGCUUCAUCUUGAUAAAGUUAA